UACGGGGGGGGCGAAGCGUUGUUCGGAAUUACUGGGCGUAAAGGGCUCGUAGGCGGCCAACUAAGUCAGACGUGAAAUCCCUCGGCUUAACCGGGGAACUGCGUCUGAUACUGGAUGGCUUGAGGUUGGGAGAGGGAUGCGGAAUUCCAGGUGUAGCGGUGAAAUGCGUAGAUAUCUGGAGGAACACCGGUGGCGAAGGCGGCAUCCUGGACCAAUUCUGACGCUGAGGAGCGAAAGCCAGGGGGAGCAAAACGGG
rnacentral:rRNA from 1 species